GAAAACAUUCUGAUGGAGACCAAUCCUCAGAUUCAGAGAAUAUUGCACCGGUCUCAGAACAUACAGGCCUAAACGGACCUAAAUAUAAAUCGACUCCUAAAUCAAAGGUGCUGAAAAAAAAACAUGUAAAUGAAGUGUUGAAUGAAAAUUCAGAAUCAGAGUCCUUUGC
rnacentral:lncRNA from 1 species